GAUGAACGCUGGCGGCGUGCCUAAUACAUGCAAGUCGAGCGCACGGGCGAGAUACUUGUAUCUCUUGGAUUAGCAGCGGACGGGUGAGUAACACGUGGGUAACCUACCUAUAAGACUGGGAUAACAUCUGGAAACGGGUGCUAAUACCGCAUAAUAUUUUUAACCACAUGUUUCAAGAGUGAAAGACGCUCUUGCUGUCACUUAUAGAUGUAUCCGCGCUGCAUUAGCUGGUUGGUAAGUUAACGGCUUACCAAGGCAACGAUGCAUAGCCAACCGGAGAGGUGGACCGGCCACACUGGACCUGGGCAACGGCCCAGACUCCUACGGGAGGCAGAAGUAGGGAACUUCCCGAAAUGAGCGAAAUCUUGACGGAGCAACGCGGCGUGGUGGAUGAAGGUUUUCGGUUCGUAAACCUCUGUUAUUAGGGAAGAACAUAUGUGUAAGUAACUGUGCACAUCUUGACGGUACCUAAUCAGAAAGCCACGGCUAACUACGUG
rnacentral:rRNA from 1 species